CCUGCCUCUAGGCUUGCGGAACCAACUGCUGGGAGGCAGCUGGGUUUGCAGAGAGGCCGGUGGUCAGCAGCACCUGUGAGGCUAUCAGUCCCUUCUUGGAACGGUUCUUCAAAAUUUACAGUAUGGAAAGCCCAGCGGUGAUGUUCAAGCCUCUACUGAGAAAACAGCAAGGGCUUUGGAUCAGGACAGACCUGAUGUCCUUGACUUUUGCGUAUGUCCUCUUUGCGUUUUGGAAUCCCAUUCUGGAUACCGCAUCACAUUUAGUCAUCGCAUCUCAUCUCGGCUGUGGCAGAAAGAUCAUCUUUUUUGAUGUCAAGGCAUCCCCCAGAGGAAGAAAAUAGAUUCCAGACCUGCUGCUAAUCCUCUCCUUCCCAACUUCCUAAGCCAUUCUUCUCAGUGACAAUUCGAGUGCUACUGCUUGGUGUCACAUCAUUAUAAUCAUGUGAACAAGACCUCAUGAUGCUAUAGUUGCUGCUGGCAGCCAUCUUGUGACCAAAACAAGAAGGGCUUUUAGGAUAAAGGAAACACUCUAGACAGCAGAGGAGAAAGACAAAAACAUCUGUAUCCCUGAUGUCAUAGCUUGAGCCAUGGAAUCAAAUCACCCUGCAGUUGGCUGUUG
rnacentral:lncRNA from 1 species